GACGAACGCUGGCGGCGUGCUUAACACAUGCAAGUCGAACGGAAAGGCCCUGCUUUUGUGGGGUGCUCGAGUGGCGAACGGGUGAGUAACACGUGAGUAACCUGCCCUUGACUUUGGGAUAACUUCAGGAAACUGGGGCUAAUACCGGAUAGGAGCUCCUGCUGCAUGGUGGGGGUUGGAAAGUUUCGGCGGUUGGGGAUGGACUCGCGGCUUAUCAGCUUGUUGGUGGGGUAGUGGCUUACCAAGGCUUUGACGGGUAGCCGGCCUGGGAGGGUGACCGGCCACAUUGGGACGGAGAUACGGCCCGGACGCCUACGGGAGGCAGCAGUGGGGAAUAUUGCACAAUGGGCGGAAGCCUGAUGCAGCAACGCCGCGUGCGGGAUGACGGCCUUCGGGUUGUAAACCGCUUUCGCCUGUGACGAAGCGUGAGUGACGGUAAUGGGUAAAGAAGCACCGGCUAACUACGU
rnacentral:rRNA from 1 species